rnacentral:rRNA from 1 species
AGCCCUGCGAUUCAACGCUUCCCUGUUGCGGGAGGCGUGGCGUACGGCUCAGUAACACGUAGUCAACCUGCCCUGGAGACGAGUAUAACCCCGGGAAACUGGGAUUAAUCCUUGAUAGGUCAUCUCAUCUGGAAGGAGAGAUGGCUUAAAGGGGUGCGAGAGCUUCUUUCUUGUACCCGCUCCAGGAUGGGACUGCGGCCGAUCAGGCUGUUGGUGGGGUAAUGGCCCACCAAACCUGUAACCGGUACGGGCCUUGAGAGAGGGGGCCCGGAGAUGGACACUGAGAGAAGGGUCCAGGUCCUACGGGGCGCAGCAGGCGCGAAACCUUCACAAUGCGCGAAAGCGUGAUGAGGUUAAUCCGAGUGGUCCCCGCUGAGGGGAUCUUUUGUCGGCUGUAAAAAGGCCGGUGAAUAAGGGGAGGGCAAGUCUGGUGUCAGCCGCCGCGGUAA